ensembl:lncRNA
ACAGAAAGGACACUGAGGUGGUGGAGCAGGUCCACAGAAGGGCAACGAGGCUUGUUCUGAGACAUUAGGGAAUGGAUUUAGACUAGAAGAGGAUCGAUUUAUGUUACAAGUUAGGAGGAAUUCUUUUCUCUGAAGUUGAUAGUGAGGCACUGGCACAGUCUGCCCGGACAUGUUGUGGAUGACUCAUCUCUGAGGAGUUUAAGGCUAAGCUGAAUGCAGCCUUGGGCUUCCUGAUCAGGAACGGGGGCUGCAGGGGAGAACUGAGAAUGACAUUGCCCUGUGUGAGAUCAGAGCCAGCUCCAACUGCUCAAAAGGGACCCACUGGUGCCACAGAUGAGACAUGGGCAACGCUGCGAGUGCUCUGGGUGAGGAGAUCUAACAGGUGGAAUCUGCUGCACAGGCACCCAAAAACCUGCCGUUUGAACGUCCGGUCUUUUUUCUGUUCUUUGAUUAUUCGAGAUUUUUUUUCAAUUUGACAUUGUCUUUCCUAAUUUUUACUUGCAAUGUAAUCUGACGGUGAGAAUUCUCAUGUAUUCAUUUUGUGCCUUGGUAGGAAUCCCUGUAAAAUUAUCAACUCCAUUAGCAUCAAAGUUAUAAUAACUGUGACACUGAUGUACAAUGUGCUAUCCUAUACUUUAUUAAAUAUCUAUGACCAUAUCGCAUAACAAAAAAUUCUUGAAGUUGCCAUGAAAUUUCUUGGCUUUAUAUAAAUGAAAACACUGAAAUUUAUUUUGUAUCCUGAAAAUAAUUCAUAUUUUUGGAAUUUUUUCAUUUACCUCUACAGAGAGUGUAUUUUAGUAUAUUAGUGUAUUAGUGGUGUAAUAUAUAUGGUGUAUAUUAGUGGUGUAAUAGAAUGGAAAUGUAUAGAAGUGUCAGUUAAAUUUCUCCGUUUGUAUAGUUGCUUUUGUAAUUCUUGAGCAUUCUUUCUCAAGUAAGACAGUAACCUAGAUAGAAUGAAAUCUAUAAAGGAAUGUCUAUUUAUAAAUAUUUUCCUGUUUUAUUUACUGAAGGCAUUUUUGCUGUGUGAGUUAGGUUCCUUGCCAUGAGCAACAAUAUGUCCAAAUAAAAGGCUUUCCACC